rnacentral:rRNA from 1 species
GUGAGCUGGGUUCAGAACGUCGUGAGACAGUUCGGUUUAUAUCCGCUGUGGACGUCAGGAAAUUUGAUAGGAUUUGCCCCCAGUACGAGAGGACCGGGGUGAACGAUCCGCUGGUGUAUCGGUUGUUCUACCAAGAGCAUUGCCGAGUAGCUAUAGAUCGGAACAGAUAAGCGCUGAAAGCAUAUUAAGCGCGAAACUGACCUCAAGAUUAGAUUUCCCUAUGAGGACACUGAAAGACGAUCAGUUUGAUAGGCGCAAGGUAGAAGUGCGGUAACGUAUGGAGCCGAAGCGUACUAAUAGUCCCAUUGACUUUUUACG